rnacentral:rRNA from 1 species
CCUACGGGUGGCUGCAGUAGGGAAUAUUGCUCAAUGGGGGAAACCCUGAAGCAGCAACGCCGCGUGGAGGAUGAAGGUUUUCGGAUUGUAAACUCCUUUUGUUAGAGAAGAUAAUGACGGUAUCUAACGAAUAAGCACCGGCUAACUCCGUGCCAGCAGCCGCGGUAAUACGGAGGAUGCGAGCGUUAUCCGGAUUUAUUGGGUUUAAAGGGUGCGUAGGCGGUCCGGAAAGUCAGCGGUAAAAGCCCGGGGCUCAACCCCGGCGAGCCGUUGAAACUGUCGGACUAGAGACGGCGAGAAGUACGCGGAAUGCGCGGUGUAGCGGUGAAAUGCAUAGAUAUCGCGCAGAACUCCGAUUGCGAAGGCAGCGUACCGGCGCCGGACUGACGCUGAGGCACGAAAGCGUGGGUAUCGAACAGGAUUAGAUACCCUUGUAGUC